rnacentral:hammerhead_ribozyme from 1 species
AUCCAUUUGACGAGUCUUAAAUAGGAUGAAACUCGCGUCCUAGAU